rnacentral:lncRNA from 1 species
CCGAUACUGUGUGGUAGACAAGAGGUUUCUGACUUUAAAGUAAAGAUUAUCACAACUCGCACAACUGAGCUUUGAUUGGUCUGUCAACUCCCUCCUCUUUCCCUUUUUAUAACUGCCGACCUCCCAAGUUGCUUCCUUUCAGAGACCUCCCAACCUCUCGCUGCAUCUGCUCCACUCCUCUGUCCCUAUAGGUCAUCUAGUUCUGUACAUUUUAUUCUCAAACCUAAGCACACACUGUUCCUCAGGAGGCUGUACGUGGAGCUUCUGUCAUCUUUACUACUAAGCGCAUGCAGGCAUUUGUGUGACCACAAAACUUAUUAACCAAUCCAGCUCAAGGCCGGGCAUGGUGGCACAAUUUAGUCACAGCAUUCAGGAGGCAGAGACAGGACGCUCUGUGUGUCAGAAGCCAGUCUGGUCUAUAAUGAGUCCCAGGCCAGGACUGCAGUGGUGAGAGCCCCUGCACUUCAGCCUACCUUCUCCCGGACCCAGGCACCCCUGUAAAAACGCAAGCUCUGGUCAGGAUGCUGAGGACUCUAACCGCAGGUGCUGUACAACAUGCCACACUGCCUUUCCAG